rnacentral:lncRNA from 1 species
GCCUUUCAGAGGUGAUUAGGCCGUGAGGACUCUUCCCUUGCAAAUGGGAUUAAGGUCCUUAUAAAAGAGGCUUCACACAGAAUUCAGUCUCUUGCUUGUCUGACUUCUGCCACGUGAGGAUACAGCAUUUGUCCUUUCCAGAGGAGGCAGCUCUCACAAGACAACCGAACCUGUAGCACCUGUAUCUUGGACUUUUCAUCUUUCAGAACUAUGGGAAAUGAAUUUCUGCUCUUUAUUAAUUACGUCAUCUGCGGUAUUCUGUUACAGCUGCACAAAAUGCACUAAGAUGUGGACACGACUAACAAGUUGUAUGGAAAGGGUAUCCCGCGGUAGGCAGGUACCACAGAUCUGACACACUGGGUGCAUGUCAGAGAUCCACAUGAUUUAAAGCAGGAAACCACGCCUGAUCUUUUCAAGGUCUUAGGUUCAGCAGCUACUUUUCAUUAGAGCUGUCACAUUUUGGAUGGCAGCACCCCAAGAUGGAAGGAGCUUGGAUCCCCAAGUCAUCAUAUAGAGGAGAGGCUCUGCAGCAAGCUUCCUGCUGUGCAUUGGACUGUGAGACAUGUGGGAUGUGCCUGCUUCCCUUUCUCCUUCCACCAUGAUUGUAAGUUUCCUGCGGCCUCCCCGGCCAUGCUUCCUGUACAGCCUGCAGAACUGCACUGUAGCAGAGCUAUAAACCAGAUGAGCAAAAUCGAUUCCUCGUGGAGCUCAGGGUCUAGUAAGCAAGUAACAAAUAAAUAAUAUCAUGGUAAGUAGUGGUAGUGGUCAUUGUGAUAGAGAAAAAUAGCAGAGCAAGGGGAUAAGGAGGGAUGGGGGCUGGUAAGGAGAUGAUACUUGAGCACAGAAGGAAGGAACGAUGAGUGUCCCAGGAGAAGAAAAGCGAGGACAAACCCCUGAGAGGAG